UCUAGCAGUGAUGAUGCACUUGCCCUCACUGAGGUUCUCUGAUGAGAGCUUUUUGGAAGUACUCAUUUGCUCUGAGCCAGA